rnacentral:tRNA from 2 species
GUCUCUGUGGUGCAAUUGGUUAGUGCGUUUGGUUAUUAACCAAAAGGUUGGUGGUUCAAGCCCACCCAGGGAUG